AGAAAUUGUAAGGUUUGUAUAAGAGAGUUGUUGAGAGAAAAUAACUUUAUUGUAUGAAUAUAUGUUGUGAGAUUUAUGAAAGUUUGUUUAUUUGAGUGAAAAAUGAUAUUUUAUCACUACUUCUACCCAUCAGGGGGAACCUCCAACUCCUAUACAAAGAACGUCUUCUCUUCUUAGCGGAAAAUAUUCUUUAGUUCAUGGACACUUGCAUAAAUUUAUCAAUUCUUGCUUUAUUAUAUUUAUCUCUUGAGACGACCUUUUAUUAUUUAUUAUUUCCUCCAAAUUGCAACAAAAUAAGUUCCAGAUAGAUUCUACUAUGUUCAAAUCGUCACUUUUACUGUUUAACUAUUGAUGAUUCCUUAUACAUAAAUUUGUCUUUGUUGAGAAGUCGGAGAGGAAAAAUAUGGAUUUGCACGAGGGCGUGGUGGACGAGUCGUGGCUGUGGGUACAACAGAGACUCAGUCGACAAUGGGAACCCAUAUGGAAAUGUGGAAAUUUCUUAUGGUCAAGGGACAACUAUUGAGGUCGAUCCCAGGGACGCUUUUGAAAGGCCUGGUGAAUAUGGCAUAUCUCAUUGUCCUUAUGGUGGUGGUUUUUGAGGUUGUUCUAGCAGUGGAAGUGGGGAAAGGUGAACAGGAAAGUCCAUGCCAUGUUCUUGAUCACCGUAGUGGCUCUUGGCACAAGUAUACUUCAAUGUUUUUGGCUAAUAUUUCUUUUGUUUUUGUAUCUUUGUGAUCCUUUAACAUAAAUAUUCUAUUGUGGACGUUGUUUUAUGUGUUGAAAUGAAGUGAUACGUGAAGGAACUGGCUAAGUAACUGGGGAGCACACACUGAUGAACUAGCUUGGUAGAUUUCCUUUAUGUCUUUUUGACAAUAAGGCUUUAGUCAAUACAAUGGCAUAUUCUUUUUCUUAUAUGUCUCAUUUUUUUCUACAAUUACUGACAAAAUUGUCAAUCAAGGUGAGCAAAAUAUGAAUGCUGAGAAGCCCUUAGGAGAGGAGGAUGUAGCAGAUAGAAAUAUGGAAAUAUCUGUAAUUGAAAUUGAAGAGAAAGAACCAGUCUUUGUAUGAAUUAAUUUAUGAUUUCAUUACUUUAAUGGUGAUUGUCUACCACUUCCAUAGGCCAACGUUUGAUUCUCUUCUUUUAUGUUCGAGUUAAUUGUUACAAUGGUCACUGAAUUUAGGUCCAUAUCUUUGAUUGGUUACUGAUGUUCAAAAUGUCGAGUUUUGGCCAUUGGACUUUGAAAAAUGUCAAGUUUUGGUUACUAAACUUAGGUCCAUAUCUUCGAUUGCUCACUAAAGUUUAAAAUGUCAAGUUUUGGCUACUGAACUUUGAAAAAUGUUGUAUAUUACUCACUGAAUUUUGAAAAAUAUUGUACAUUACUCACUGAACUUUGAAAAAUACUAUACAUUACUCACUGUAAACUCGAUAUUUUUCAAAGUUCAAUAAUUAUGUUAGUGAGUAAC
rnacentral:lncRNA from 1 species